rnacentral:rRNA from 1 species
CGCGGUGAAUACGUUCCCGGGCCUUGUACACACCGCCCGUCAAGCCAUGGAAGCUGGAAGUACCUGAAGUCGGUAACCGUAAGGAGCCGCCUAGGGUAAAGUCGGUAACUGGGGCU